rnacentral:rRNA from 1 species
UUGGAGGGCAAGUCUGGUGCCAGCAGCCGCGGUAAUUCCAGCUCCAAUAGCGUAUAUUAAAGUUGUUGCAGUUAAAAAGCUCGUAGUUGAAUUUCGGGAUCAAUUUGCUGGUCGUGCCUUUGGUACGUACUGGUAUUAUUGGUUUCUCCUUUCUGAUGAAUCACGAUGUCAUUAAUUUGGUGUCAUGGGGAAUCAGGACUGUUACUUUGAAAAAAUUAGAGUGUUUAAAGCAGGCUCACGCUUGAAUACAUUAGCAUGGAAUAAUGAAAUAGGACGUUUGAUUCUAUUUUGUUGGUUUCUAGGAUUGACGUAAUGAUUAAUAGGGAUAGUUGGGGGCAUUAGUAUUCAAUUGUCAGAGGUGAAAUUCUUGGAUUUAUUGAAGACUAACUACUGCGAAAGCAUUUGCCAAGGAUGUUUUCAUUAAUCAAGAACGAAAGUUAGGGGAUCGAAGACGAUCAGAUACCGUCGUAGUCUUAACCAUAAACUAUGCCGACUAGGGAUCGGAUGAUGUUAAUUUUUUAAUGACUCAUUCGGCGCCUUACGGGAAAC